ensembl:snRNA U6 U6 spliceosomal RNA
GUGCUCACUUUGGCAGCACACAUACUAAAAUUGGAACAAGUCAGAGAAGACAGUCAUGGCCCCUGCACAAGGAAAUAUUUAUUUCUUAAAAAGCCCUCAGGUUACU